UACAGAGACUGCAAGCGUUAUUCGGAUUCACUGGGCGUAAAGGGUGCGCAGGCGGUCGGGUGUGUCAGAUGUGAAAUCCCGAGGCUCAACCUCGGAACUGCGUCUGAAACUACUCGACUAGAGUACUGGAGAGGGUAACGGAAUUCACGGUGUAGCAGUGAAAUGCGUAGAUAUCAAGAGGAACACCUGAGGUGAAGACGGGUUGCUGGGCCGACACUGACGCUGAGUGCGCGAAAGCCAGGGGAGCAAACGGG
rnacentral:rRNA from 1 species